GAUGAACGCUAGCUACAGGCUUAACACAUGCAAGUCGAGGGGAAACGCCAUCGAAAGCUUGCUUUUGAUGGGCGUCGACCGGCGCACGGGUGAGUAACGCGUAUCCAACCUGCCCACCACUUGGGGAUAACCUUGCGAAAGUAAGACUAAUACCCAAUGAUAUCUCUAGAAGACAUCUGAAAGAGAUUAAAGAUUUAUCGGUGAUGGAUGGGGAUGCGUCUGAUUAGCUUGUUGGCGGGGUAACGGCCCACCAAGGCAACGAUCAGUAGGGGUUCUGAGAGGAAGGUCCCCCACAUUGGAACUGAGACACGGUCCAAACUCCUACGGGAGGCAGCAGUGAGGAAUAUUGGUCAAUGGACGAGAGUCUGAACCAGCCAAGUAGCGUGCAGGAAGACGGCCCUAUGGGUGGUAAACUGCUUUUAUAAGGGAAUAAAGUGAGUCUCGUGAGACUUUUUGCAUGUACCUUAUGAAUAAGGACCGGCUAAUUCCGUG
rnacentral:rRNA from 1 species